GGGCGUUCCCAAGUGGAAAUAUAAGAGUUCACCUGUUCCGGUUUCUCUUAUACCUUCAACAUGGAUCUUAAAGUCAUCUGCCUGCUCCUGGUCUUGUGUGCCUCUAUUGGCACCAUCAAAGGUGCCUUCCCUACAUGUUGUUUUCCUGGAACCACAAAAUUACCCAUUCGGUUGCUGCAGCAGGUGGAGAAAUAUUCCUAUCAGAGACCCAGUGCAUCAUGUGAAGCUGAAGCUGUUGUACUGCAUUUGAGAAACAAAAAAAAGAUAUGCGCUAAACCAAAGGUGUUGCUCAUACUGAAAAAGCACAAAAUACCGCAAAGGCAGGCAGAGCAUAUGCUGGGAUGGAUCCGGAAGUAAAGACUUUUGUCCAGAAUGUGCCACGUGUGGGGAGAGAGUGACAUCAUUGUUGUAUCUGAGCACUUUUCAUGGCUGUUGACAUAUCUGUGGGGUGUUUGGCGGUUCAUCUGCUAUUCUUUGUUUUUUUUUUCAUUCAUCUGUAUCAUUCCUUUUUGUUGAAAUGAACAACAUUUUCAUCUUGUUGCAGUAAAGCUUCAGGCAGGUCUAUGUAAGGAUUUUUCUGGUUGAAAAUGAAAAUGUUUAAUGUAUGUAGCAUGUGGAUACUCUCUGAAUAAAAGCAUAUUAAUCCUAACAAA